rnacentral:lncRNA from 1 species
ACUCGACCCCUUUCUUUCCCAUUCCUCCGACUGCCUCCAGCCUAGGCAACCACUAUCGGAUGGUGACCAGCCACGCCCCGAGAACCUCCUCUCCUCUAGCGACCAUGUUCUCUGAAGUGAGUCCAGUCGAAGGUCCCCCUUCUUCCCUACCCAACAGGCAUGCUAUCGGAGCAUGAAAGUGGCCACAUUAGAAGCAUACACUGUCAAGGUUUUCAAAAUGAACUGCUGCCACUAGCGGCCCUCC